rnacentral:rRNA from 1 species
CCUACGGGAGGCUGCAGUGGGAAUAUUGGACAAUGGGCGAAAGCCUGAUCCAGCCAUGCCGCGUGUGUGAAGAAGGCCUUCGGGUUGUAAAGCACUUUCAGUGGGGAAGAAAGCCUUGGGGCUAAUACCCUCGAGGAAGGACAUCACCCACAGAAGAAGCACCGGCUAACUCCGUGCCAGCAGCCGCGGUAAUACGGAGGGUGCGAGCGUUAAUCGGAAUUACUGGGCGUAAAGCGCGCGUAGGCGGUCUGAUAAGCCGGUUGUGAAAGCCCCGGGCUCAACCUGGGAACGGCAUCCGGAACUGUCAGGCUAGAGUGCAGGAGAGGAAGGUAGAAUUCCCGGUGUAGCGGUGAAAUGCGUAGAGAUCGGGAGGAAUACCAGUGGCGAAGGCGGCCUUCUGGACUGACACUGACGCUGAGGUGCGAAAGCGUGGGUAGCAAACAGGAUUAGAUACCCCUGUAGUC